AAUGACGACGGUCGCCAAAAUAAAUCAGGUUGACAGUCUGGCUCCUGAUGACCGAUUUCAUUCGGUGUAUAACCAGCAAACACCCACCCAGUCAACAGGAACAGAAAGUCACCCCAAAGUCCACCCCCCCCCCCCAACACCUGGUUCUUUGGUGGGACGGAGUUGAGCUGUAACUAUGGAAACCGCUGCCCUUCACCAUCCUCUCACCUGCAGCAGCUGGCUGGACUCCUCAGGGACUCCUCAGACCAAACACCACAGCCCAGGCUCUGGAAUGUAGCCUGAAGGACCUAACCCGGCUGCCUUCUGAUCCCCUCCUGUGCUCCUGAACCAUCCCUGGAUUCAUCCGUUCUCUGGACCCCCUGGAUUCCUGUCUACUUUGUUUCGGCUCAGGUCCUGUUCCCCUGGACCCGAUGGAUUGGUGUUCAGCUCAGCCCAGCACCCCCCUCUACCAGAUUCAACUUUACAAUUAACCACUCCUUCAACCAGUUUUAUAUCUCAGUGUCUGCAUUUGGGUUCAGUUAAACCUGUGCCUUAACAGAGCUAACAGCAGCAUUGCAACGGUGAAGACCAUCAGGGUGAGAAACAUCAGACAGGUCAUUAAAGGUCCAUGCUGUAUAAACGUAGAUGUCCAUGUGCUGUUUCCAGAAAUAACAUUUGAAUUAAAUGAUGUUUGGUCCUCAGAAGAGGAGGAAGAGAAGAAGCCUAGAUACUUCAGCACACCUCUAGGUGCACUCAUAUGACAUUGUGAGGUCAGGGAAAAGUUUAUGUGUUGCUAAGCAACAGUCCGGUACAAGUC